UAUUUAUGUAAUUUGCUAAUUCAGCUAGUUAGUUAGGCUGAGCUGUCAAUUCUACAGCUGGUUACUAUUGUACAGAAUAAGUGCAUGUAUAUAUACGUUUGUACUGCUUCCUUUUGGCAUAUAUGAAAUACUCCAGUUUCUCUCUCUACUCUGUAAUCAGGUUUUCUCCAAUUAGGGUGUAAACUUUACAUGGUAUCAGAGCAUUGAUCAAGACCUUCAUUCAUGGUGACAAAUCCAGAAGCUGAAAUUGAAGAAUCGACUGAUACUCCUACACCGAAAGUUGAUCACGGUGAAGAUCUGUUGCUUGCAACUCAUCAACUGAUAUUGGAUCUCUCGAGCCCUUACUACGUGCACUAUGUAGAUAACACAGGUAUGCAGAUUGUUUCAGUUGUUCUCUCUAAUGAGAAUUAUUCAACCUAAAGUCGUGCUAUGGAAAUGGCAUUGAGUGUGAAAAAUAAGGAAGGUUUUAUUGAUGGUUCGAUAGUGAAACCCUCCAUGAAUUUACCUUUGUAUGCUGCCUGGCGUAGAUGCAAUCAUAUUGUUUCAUCAUGGAUUAUUAGUUCAAUUCCUAAGGAACUAUAUCCUAAUGUUAUGCAUAAGGACUCAGCACGUGAGAUCUGGCUCAAAUUGAAAGAUAGGUAUAGUCAGGGCAAUGGACCUAGAAUUUACCAAUUGAAGAAGCUAAUUGCUUCAAUUUCACAAGGGUAUGGAUCUGUAAGUGCCUAUUUUAAUAGGCUGAAAGGCUUAUGAGAAGAGUUGUCGAACUAUAGGCCACAAACUCAUAAUUCUUAUCAUGAAGAAGAACAAAUACUGCAAUUUUUAAUGGGACUGGAUGAGUGUUAUUCCAAUGUGAGAAGUCAGAUUUUACUAAUGGAGCCUUUGCCUCCACUAAACGAAGUGUUUACCUUAGUUCAGUAGGAUGAAAAACUGAGAGAUGUGGCAUCAAGGAGUUAGAUUAAUGUGGAAACCAGUGCAUUCAUUAGUAGAUUGAUGCGUAAUCCUAUGAGCUCCGGAGGUAACCGAAGAACAACGAAUAUGAAUCAAAAUUACAGGAAGGAUAGACCUAAGUGUAGUUACUGUGGGAUGCUUGGACAUAUACAGGGAAAGUGCUACAAACUCCAUGGAUAUCCUCCAGGACAUAGGUUGGCAAAGGAGAAAGGAAAAUGAUAUAUUUCCAGUGCUAAUCAGGUGAUGGGAACUGCUACCUCCUCUGAUCUGUCAGGUGCAUUCUCAAACCUGACAUUUACUCCAGAACAAUGCUAGCAAGUUCUCAAUAUGUUGAAACCGCAGAUUCACGUUCAGCUCUCAAAUUUGAUUACUCAAUCUGGUAAUACUGAAAACCAAAGUCAAACAAACCUUGCAUUGCCAGAUGUUUCACAUUCUGAGGACCUUUCUACAUGGACAACGAUUGGAGUGGGGAAACUUGAAGCUGGAUUGUAUCACUACUAGCUUAGUACUCCUUCAAACAAUGGUCCAUCACUCCCUGCAUGCCCCAUCAAAUCUGCACCACAUCAAUUCAAUACAUUCUCUUCUGUACUUGUAGAUGUUGGCUGUAAUAAAGUCAUAAAUCAUGACUAUGUUUCUAGUCUCAAUGCUGUCACAAAAGUGCCUUUUGAACUAUGGCACUCUAGGUUAGGACAUAUUCCCCAUUCUAGAAUCUCCAUGUUGCAAAAACUUGUACCUAAAAUUGUAUGGAAUUAUGAAUUUCAUUCUAGUAUUUGUCCUAUGGCAAAGCAACAUAGGUUGCCUUUUCCUCACAGUAUGCAUAUA